rnacentral:rRNA from 1 species
GUGGGGAAUUUUGGACAAUGGGCGCAAGCCUGAUCCAGCAAUGCCGCGUGCAGGAAGAAGGCCUUCGGGUUGUAAACUGCUUUUGUACGGAACGAAACGGUCCGGGUUAAUACCCUGGGCUAAUUACGGUACCGUAAGAAUAAGCACCGGCUAACUACGUGCCAGCAGCCGCGGUAAUACGUAGGGUGCAAGCGUUAAUCGGAAUUACUGGGCGUAAAGCGUGCGCAGGCGGUUUUGUAAGACAGGCGUGAAAUCCCCGGGCUCAACCUGGGAAUUGCGCUUGUGACUGCAAGGCUGGAGUGCGGCAGAGGGGGAUGGAAUUCCGCGUGUAGCAGUGAAAUGCGUAGAUAUGCGGAGGAACACCGAUGGCGAAGGCAAUCCCCUGGGCCUGCACUGGCGCUCAUGCACGAAAGCGUGGGGAGCAAACAGGAUUAGAUACCCUAGUAGUCC